rnacentral:rRNA from 1 species
AGAGUUUGAUCAUGGCUCAGGAUGAACGCUAGCUACAGGCUUAACACAUGCAAGUCGAGGGGAAACGAUAUUGGAAGCUUGCUUCCGAUAGGCGUCGACCGGCGCACGGGUGAGUAACGCGUAUCCAACCUGCCCACCACUUGGGGAUAACCUUGCGAAAGUAAGACUAAUACCCAAUGAUAUCUCUAGAAGACAUCUGAAAGAGAUUAAAGAUUUAUCGGUGAUGGAUGGGGAUGCGUCUGAUUAGCUUGUUGGCGGGUAACGGCCACAAGGCGACGAUCGAGUAGGGGUUACUGAGACGGAAGGUCCCCCACAUUGGAACUGAGACACGAUCCAAACUCUACGGAGGCA